AUUGAACGCUGGCGGCAGGCCUAACACAUGCAAGUCGAGCGGAUGAAUCGAGCUUGCUCCUGGAUUCAGCGGCGGACGGGUGAGUAAUGCCUAUGAAUCUGCCUGGUAGUGGGGGAUAACGUCCGGAUACGGGCUCUUAUACCGCAUACGUCCUGAUGUCGAAAGUGGGUGAUCUUCGGACCUCACGCUUUCUUAUGAGCCUAGGUCGGAUUAGCUAGUUGGUGGGGUAAAGGCCUAACAAGGCUACUAUGCGUAACUGGUCUGAAGGGAUGAUCAGUUACACUGGAACAGAGACAGGGUCCACACACCUACGGGGGGAAACAGCGGGGAAUAUUGGAGGAAGGAGGAAAGGGUAAUACAGGAAAGCGGGGUGAGGGAAGAAGGACUUCUGAUUGUAAAGCGAUUUAAGUUGGAAGGAAGGGAAGUAAGUUAACACCUUGCUGUAAUGACGUUACCAAGAGAAUAAGCACCGGCUAACUUCGUG
rnacentral:rRNA from 1 species